CGAUGAAGACCUCUUCGCACCAGCACGCAAGUUCGGCCCGGAUGGCCUCGGGCAUGACCUCGCGUGCCCGUCGACCGGACGCCUGCAACUAGCUGGGUUACCGGAGGUCGUCUUGCAU
rnacentral:sRNA from 1 species